UGAAGAUCCUCGGCUAGACGCUGUUGAGAUACUGCAAGCGACUUUAGCCUGGCAGGCGCUUUUAAAUCACCUGAGCUGAACACAGACCUGAGCUAACACCGCUGCUGGAUCUUUCGGAACCAAGAAGCGAGGAGUUUGGAGGGGCGACGAGUGGAUUUUACGCCCACGGACACCCUCACACACACGGUGGAGCGCUGUGGGAGUAGGAAGCGUUUGUGUGUGGGAGGACGGAGGUGACAGUGAUCGGUGUUGGGGAAGCUGAGAACCGCCAAUUCGAGCUAUCGUCAAGCUAACUGGCUGACACCAACCUGACCCGGUUCGGCGGAAAAACAACCAGAAACGACACCUGCUUUUUCGAAGGGUGUGACAAAAAUGCCGAGGAGGACUUCUGGUUCUGAAACCGAACCGGAUGCAUUUACAUAAUUCCCCGUGUUCAGGAACAGUCCAGGUUAGCGAGCUAGCAUCACCUGGUUCACAGUUAAUGACUUAUUAAUCAGUACAUUGUGUUUUAGCGGUUUUGUGCCUCUCUAACUGGGGGAUUUGACCCGAACGGGACGGUUCCAUUGGACUGGGAGUUCUGGGAUGAGGGCGACUCAAACCCACCAUCAUAUGAAGAGACAGCUGGAGUCUACGCAUCCUGUGUUGUUAUGGUAACCAAUCCGUAUUCUGCUGUUUUAUUACUUAUUAAUCUGUGUUUUAGUAUAUUUAUAUUACCAUGUUUACAUUUCCCCUCGCUGUCUACAUCAGUGGUGUAGAAAAUAACACAUUUGGUUUCAUUUAUAAACAACAAAUAAUCUCUGCUGCAGUUUUCAUUGAAGUUGUAAUUAGAAACGAUUUCAAAAUUGAAUUUUUCACUGACAUGACUAAUUUAGAUUUAUUUUAUUUAAAAACAGGCCAAACGCAAGAAGCAAAAGAAUUUUAUUUAUUGCAUAAUAAAUUAAAACCAGUUCAAUUUUUUCCGUGUGCAGAAUUUACUGUUUUCUCUUUUCUCUCUCUCUCUACCAAAAACUCUUCAGUCUGGUAUUUUGGUUUCAAUUAACCAUUUUUUUGGAAGGACAAUUUUAUUUAUGGAGGCUUUAAUAUUCAUUUUAUUUGUUGCUUUUGUUCUGUUUAUUUUUUGGAUAUUUAAAAAAUGUCUUCCAGGCUCAGUGUUAAAUAUAGUAAUAUAAUGGCAUUACUGUGCCAUUAAAUUACUUAAAAAUGAUCUCAAAACGACAUUAUUGUUUAUCCUAAUAAUUCUGGAACAAUUUAUCAUCCAGAAAAAAAAUAUUGUGACAGUUCUACUUAAAGAUAAUUACAUGAUAGUAAUUAAUAUUUAUGCUUACAGAGGUUGUAGUUUUUAAUCUGAGAAUAAGAAAAAUUACCGAAUUAAAACGCUUUCAAAACAUGUUACUUUUCUCAUUUUUAUUAAGUUAAAAAAGCAUUCAGUAGAAUGCUGAAAAGGUGAUUCUUCCUAGUUUUUAUACUUUAAUGAAUAUUAAAUAAAAACCAUUUUCACUAGUAUUUCAAUACCUUAUUAAUCCAAAAGAAAAACUAAAUGAUGCUGUACAUUUAAUUUUCUUUAGCAUUGUUGUAGAUGAUGAUGGCUGUAAGCAGGAAUUAUGUCCUGCAGCAGACAGUAUAACAGUUAUUAUGAAAAGGCCUCUAACUGAAGACACAGUUUGUUUAUAAGCUGAUUGAGGGGAAAAUUCAAACCUCUGAUCAGUUGAUUUACUAUCUUGACUUUAUCGAUUCUUCUGUUGUUUUGAUUUUGACACAGUUAAUUUAAUCUUUUAUUGUUUGUAAACGGGCUUUUUGUACCAAAUGCUAGAAAUUGUUCUUGUUCUGCUCUUUGUGUGUGCUGGCAGUCAACAGUCGGGUUUUUGAAAGCAACUGAUUUUUAAUGUAUUAUUUAUCUUUUGUCAACGUUUUCAGAACCAGAACUUAACAUGGAAAGUCAGGAUUUAUUAGUUCAUUUGCUGCUCGGUUCAGGAACCAGAUUCCUGAAAACCUGACGUUAAGAGUACUGUUUAAACCUUUACUAAAAGUAUUAUUUGCAUCAACUUCCUCUUACAGACAAGCUUAUUUUUGGUGCCUCUUCUCUUGCUGGCUUUUACUGCAAAUGUUUUAAUGUAUUUCAUGCCUUUUAAUGUACUUUUCCCCGGGUUUUUUUGUAAAUCACCUAAAAAAUAAACUGGCCUAAUGUUUACUGAAACCAGAA